UAGAUAAUGUUGACUCUUACCCAUUUACAUGACCGUUGAUUGUGAACAUGUAAUGGUUUUACGCCGCUUUUAGCAAUAUUUCAGCUAUAUCAUGGGUGACACUAGAAAUGGGCUUUAUACCUUUUACCAAUGUGGGGAAUCGAACCCGGGUCUUCGCAGUGAUGAACGAACGCUUCAACCACAAGGCUACCUCACGCUAUACAUUUAAUAAAUGACAUUGUGUUGACAAACCCUAUUUCACGUACACGGUAUGCUUGUAUAUCCA